rnacentral:rRNA from 1 species
UAGCCGUAAACUGUGCUCGCUAGGUGUCAGGGACGGUGCGACCGUUUCUGGUGCCGCAGGGAAGCCGUGAAGCGAGCCACCUGGGAAGUACGGUCGCAAGGCUGAAACUUAAAGGAUUGGCGGGGGGAGCACCACAACGGGUGGAGCUUGCGGUUUAAUUGGAUUCAACGCCGGAAAUCUUACCGGGACCGACAGCAACAUGAAGGCCAGGCUGAAGACUUUGCCGGAUUAGCUGAGAGGUGGUGCAUGG